AAUCAACGCUGGCGGCGUGCCUAACACAUGCAAGUCGAACGAGAAAGUGGAGCAAUCCAUGAGUAAAGUGGCGACCGGGUGAGUAACACGUGACUAACCUACCUUUCAGUGGGGAAUAACCUCGGGAAACCGGGGCUAAUACCGCAUAAUGUCUUCGGACCAAAGGAGCAAUUCGCUGAAAGAGGGGGUCGCGGCCGAUUAGCUAGUUGGUGAGGUAAUGGCCCACCAAGGCAAUGAUCGGUAGCCGGCCUGAGAGGGCGCACGGCCACACUGGAAC
rnacentral:rRNA from 1 species